GAGUUUGAUCCUGGCUCAGAACGAACGCUGGCGGCAGGCUUAACACAUGCAAGUCGAGCGAGAUCUUCGGAUCUAGCGGCGGACGGGUGAGUAACGCGUGGGAACGUGCCCUUUGCUACGGAAUAGUCCCGGGAAACUGGGUUUAAUACCGUAUACGCCCCUCGGGGGAAAGAUUUAUCGGCAAAGGAUCGGCCCGCGUUGGAUUAGGUAGUUGGUGGGGUAAUGGCCUACCAAGCCGACGAUCCAUAGCUGGUUUGAGAGGAUGAUCAGCCACACUGGGACUGAGACACGGCCCAGACUCCUACGGGAGGCAGCAGUGGGGAAUCUUAGACAAUGGGGGCAACCCUGAUCUAGCCAUGCCGCGUGAGUGAUGAAGGCCUUAGGGUUGUAAAGCUCUUUCAGCUGGGAAGAUAAUGACGGUACCAGCAGAAGAAGCCCCGGCUAACUCCGUGCCAGCAGCCGCGGUAAUACGGAGGGGGCUAGCGUUGUUCGGAAUUACUGGGCGUAAAGCGCACGUAGGCGGAUCGGAAAGUUGGGGGUGAAAUCCCCGGGGCUCAACCUCGGAACUGCCUCCAAAACUAUCG
rnacentral:rRNA from 1 species